UACGAAGGGGGCUAGCGUUGCUCGGAAUUACUGGGCGUAAGGCGCACGUAGGCGGUCUUUUAAGUCGGGGGUGAAAUCCUGGAGCUCAACUCCAGAACUGCCUUCGAUACUGGAAGACUCGAGUCCGGGAGAGGUGAGUGGAACUGCGAGUGUAGAGGUGAAAUUCGUAGAUAUUCGCAAGAACACCAGUGGCGAAGGCGGCUCACUGGCCCGGUACUGACGCUGAGGUGCGAAAGCGUGGGGAGCAAACAGG
rnacentral:rRNA from 1 species